UACGAAGGGGGCUAGCGUUGCUCGGAAUCACUGGGCGUAAAGGGUGCGUAGGCGGGUCUUUAAGUCAGGGGUGAAAUCCUGGAGCUCAACUCCAGAACUACCUUUGAUACUGAGGAUCUUGAGUUCGGGAGAGGUGAGUGGAACUGCGAGUGUAGAGGUGAAAUUCGUAGAUAUUCGCAAGAACACCAGUGGCGAAGGCGGCUCACUGGCCCGAUACUGACGCUGAGGCGCGAAAGCGUGGGGAGCAAACAGG
rnacentral:rRNA from 1 species